GACGAACGCUGGCGGCGUGCUUAACACAUGCAAGUCGAACGGUGAAGCGCCUUCCUUUUUGGUGGGUGUGGAUGAGUGGCAAACGGGUGAGUAACACGUGAGUAACCUGCCCCCUUCUUCUGGAUAACCGCAUGAAAGUGUGGCUAAUACGGGAUAUUCUGGGUCUGUCGCAUGAUGGGUCUGGGAAAGAUAUUGUUUCGGUGGGGAUGGGCUCGCGGCCUAUCAGCUUGUUGGUGGGGUGAUGGCCUACCAAGGCGGUGACGGGUAGCCGGCCUGAGAGGGUGGACGGGCACACUGGGACUGAGACACGGCCCAGACUCCGACGGGAGGCAGCAGUGGGGAAGAUGGCACAAUGGGCGAAAGCCUGAUGCAGCGACGCCGCGGGAGGGAUGGAGGCCUUCGGGUUGUGAACCUCUUUCGCCAGUGAAGCAGGCCUGCCUCGUUUGUGGGUGGGUUGACGGUAGCUGGAUAAGAAGCGCCGGCUAACUACGUG
rnacentral:rRNA from 1 species